GUUCUACCUUGACGAAUUGUAGUUUAAAGAAGUGUUUUCUGUUAGAGGAGUAGCAAAAGUUCCUUGGAAUGGGACAUCAUAGAGGGUGAGAAUCCCGUAUUUGGUUACUUUUUCUAGCUUUGUGAUACACUUUCAAAGAGUCGGAUUGUUUGGGAAUGCAGUCCAAAAUGGGUGGUAAAUUUCAUCUAAAGCUAAAUAUUGGCGAGAGACCGAUAGCGAACCAGUACCGUGAGGGAAAGAUGAAAAGAACUUUGAAAAGAGAGUUAAACAGUACGUGAAAUUGUCAAAAGGGAAGCGUUUGACACCAGUGUUGUUUUUCCGAAAAUCAAUUAAGAAGGACUUGAUUUUGUGUUGUAUUGACCUUAUCAGCUUUCUUCACUCUUUUUCGAGUCUUUCUU
rnacentral:rRNA from 1 species